rnacentral:precursor_RNA from 11 species
AAUAAAACAAUUGUUAUACUUGUUCCGCCCUAGCAGCACGUAAAUAUUGGUGUAGUAAAGAUAAUCUUAACCCCAAUAUUGUUGUGCUGCUUAAGCGUGGCAGGGAUUAAGCAACAAUGUUGUU